UACCUUAGUAACGGCGAGUGAAGCGGUAACAGCUCAAAUUUGAAAUCUGGGUCUUUUAGGCUCCGAGUUGUAAUUUGUAGAAGAUGCUUUGGGUGCGGCCCCGGUCUAAGUUCCUUGGAACAGGACGUCAUAGAGGGUGAGAAUCCCGUAUGUGAUCGGUGGCUUGCGCCCGUGUAAAGCUCUUUCGACGAGUCGGGUUGUUUGGGAAUGCAGCUCUAAAUGGGUGGUAAAUUUCAUCUAAAGCUAAAUAUUGGCCAGAGACCGAUAGCGCACAAGUAGAGUGAUCGAAAGAUGAAAAGCACUUUGGAAAGAGAGUUAAACAGUACGUGAAAUUGUUGAAAGGGAAGCGCUUGCAACCAGACUUGCGCGGGGUUGAUCAUCCGGGGUUCUCCCCGGUGCACUCGGCCUCGCUCAGGCCAGCAUCGGUUUUGGUGGUUGGAUAAAGGCCUUGGGAAUGUGACUUCUUUCGGGGAGUGUUAUAGCCCUCGGUGCAAUGCAGCCUACCGGGACCGAGGACCGCGCUUCGGCUAGGAUGCUGGCGUAAUGGUUGUAAGCGACCCGUCUUGAAACACGGACCAAGGAGUCUAACAUCUAUGCGAGUGUUUGGGUGUCAAACCCAUACGCGUAAUGAAAGUGAACGGAGGUGAGAACCCUUAAGGGUGCAUCAUCGACCGAUCCUGAUGUCUUCGGAUGGAUUUGAGUAAGAGCAUAGCUGUUGGGACCCGAAAGAUGGUGAACUAUGCCUGAAUAGGGUGAAGCCAGAGGAAACUCUGGUGGAGGCUCGCAGCGGUUCUGACGUGCAAAUCGAUCGUCAAAUUUGGGCAU
rnacentral:rRNA from 1 species